AUCUCCACAGCAACAGGAGAUUAUCUUGAUUUGGUGCACGACAUUCUGCUGCCCGUGGUAAUCAAAGACAAAAGUAAGCACACAUUGAGUCACUAAGAGGCCCGUUUUAAAUUUGCAGGUUAAGCAUUGUCAGUAUUUUAUAUCUCGGGAACCAGAGCAAGAAAAAGCUGGGAAAAAUACAGCUAUACAUCAAAUAUUCAACCACUGCAGAUGAAAGUAGUUGCAAGGUCCGUUUUCUGGGGGAAGUUUCUGUUCAAAUUGAGCAGAUACACACUCUGGUCUUUCAGAAUUACCAGGCACUUGAUGAAUAUUAAAGAUGUAUUGAAGCUCUACAAAUGGUUGCAUGAUAUUCUUUCACCCGAGGUUCUUAGUGAAGGCCUAUCAUGGAUGGUUUCUGCAGUGGAUGACUUUGGUACUUCUCAUAUUAAGCUGAAGCUUUAGGAAGGUUGAUAAAGUAACUGAUUCUACAUCAACUGCGGUGAGUGGUGGCAUCACUGGCAUGGAUGGUCUUCCACGUCAAGAUAUCAGUGAAAAGACUACCCCCCCCCCCCGUUAAAAGGCUUAGAGGGUUCUGAUUUGAAGUGUAGGUCCGUUUGGAAUCUAUUGAAAGUGUGACCAAAAUUCUGGAAGAGGCGAACAAACCUAUUCUGCCUGCUGGAACUGGAGAUCUAUUUGGAGCUCUAAAAGGGCGUCCACACGACAGUAACAACAUUUUUUUAUUAUUGCUACUUUGUCCACAAUCGGUACUCUUACGACUGCAAUGGACUGCCAGUUGAGAAGUCAGGCAAGGUACUCUCGUAUACUAUUAGUUAUACUAUUAUUAAGAGUCUCUUGCGCUAACUAAAUGUGAGUUACAAUCCCAAUAUUAUAAAUACUUGGGAUCCUUUAGAUAAUCUUGAAAACGUCAAACACAAUAUUUGUACUUUUAAAUCCCAAUAUUCAAACUCUUCUGUCAUGUACAUAGCUCCUGUGAGGCUUGAUCAUUUACAUGAAUGUGGCUCAUGCAGGGCAUUCUUUCAGAUGCCUUGAAAUGCCUUGAGUGUACAAUGAGAGUACCAAUGCUUGGUGCUGCUCAUCUCGAUAAAAUGGUCUGUAGUCAUUUUAGAAAAUAGUGUUUUUCGACUUCCUGCUUUGAGUAUUGUUAACCUCACGCUUGCUGAUGUCUUUAGCGUUUAGCUACCAUAUAUUAUUCUCUCAGACGCUGAAAUAGGCAUAGAAGGGCGCAGGGAUCUUUUUAAAUGGCUAUCAAGAAGACAACUUACUGGAUUGGAUAAAUAAGCAGAUGGUUGUAAAGCGGCUGAAGCAUGCU